GUGUGUGUGUGUGUGUGUGUGUGUGUGUGUGUGUGUGUGUGUGUGUGUGUGUGUGUGUGUGUGUGUGUGUGUGUGUGUGUGUGUGUGUGUGUGUGUGUGUGUGUGUGUGUGUGUGUGUGUACAUGGUUAUGUUAUGGUGAUAUGGUAGCAAUUUACAGUAACCACGGGGAUGGCAUCAUAAUGUUGCUAUGGUAACCACUAUCUGUGUAACAGGGUACCCGUGGCGACCCCGGUGAUGCCGGACCGAGAGGAGACCCCGGCCUGGCAGGACCAAAGGGCGACGUGGGAAGAGCUGGCUUCAGUUACCCAGGACCAAGAGGACCAACGGGUGAACGUGGGGAGAAGGGCGGUCCAGGGCCCAGAGGAGGCAGAGGAGACUGUGGCCCCAAGGGAGGACCAGGGGGAAAGGGAACCUCUGGAGAGGAGGGAGAACCAGGGCCUCAGGGAGAACCUGGAUUCAGAGGACCAAGAGGAGUGGGUGGACGAGAUGUACGUACACAAGCACCCACGCACACACACACACACAGACACACACACACAGACACACAGACACACACAAACACACACACACAGACACACACACACACACGCAUACACACAUACACACACACACACAUAA
rnacentral:lncRNA from 13 species